GCAUAUCAUGAGCGGAGGAAAAGAAACCAACAGGGAUUGCCCCAGUAACGGCGAGUGAAGCGGCAAGAGCUCAAAUUUGAAAUCUGGCCUCCCCCGGGGGCCCGAGUUGUAAUUUGCAGAGGAUGCUUCGGGUGCGGCCGCCGUCUAAGUUCCUUGGAACAGGACGUCAGAGAGGGUGAGAAUCCCGUCUUGGGCGGGCGGUCCGCGCCCGUGUGAAGCUCCUUCGACGAGUCGAGUUGUUUGGGAAUGCAGCUCUAAGCGGGUGGUAAAUUUCAUCUAAAGCUAAAUAUUGGCCGGAGACCGAUAGCGCACAAGUAGAGUGAUCGAAAGGUUAAAAGCACCUUGAAAAGGGAGUUAAACAGCACGUGAAAUUGUUGAAAGGGAAGCGCUUGCGGCCAGACUCGGGGGCGGGGUUCAGCGGGUGCUCGUCGCCCGUGUAUUCCUCGUUUCCCGGGCCAGCAUCAGUUUCGACGGCCGGUCAAAGGCCCCCGGAAUGUGUCGUCUCUCGGGACGUCUUAUAGCCGGGGGUGCAAUGCGGCCCGUCGGGACUGAGGAACGCGCUUCGGCUCGGAUGCUGGCGUAAUGGCCGUAAGCGGCCCGUCUUGAAACACGGACCAAGGAGUCUAACAUCCACGCGAGUGUUCGGGUGUCAAACCCGUGCGCGCAGUGAAAGCGAACGGAGGUGGGAGCCUUAGGGCGCACCAUCGACCGAUCCUGAAGUCUUCGGAUGGAUUUGAGUAGGAGCGUGGCCGUUGGGACCCGAAAGAUGGUGAACUAUGCCUGAAUAGGGUGAAGCCAGAGGAAACUCUGGUGGAGGCUCGCAGCGGUUCUGACGUGCAAAUCGAUCGUCAAAUUUGGGCAUAGGGGCGAAAGACUAAUCGAACCAUCUAGUAGCUGGUUCUGCGA
rnacentral:rRNA from 1 species